AUGUGCUACCUGUGCAAGGAUGUCGGGCACCCCGCGAUUCUCUGUCCGGACCGCCCGGUGACGGAGGAGAUCAUGAUGUACGGCCACGGCAUCGAGGACAUGGCCUUCUUCCACAUCGAGGUCCAAGAGAUCCCCCCUCCCUCCCCCUUGUUGCUGGCGAUUGUGUCGGUCGUGGGCGAGGCCGUCGCCAUCCCGGAGCUGAUCGAGGCGGAGCUCAACCACCUGUGCAGGUGCUCGUGGGAUUGGCAUGUGACCCCCACCGCAUCCAACGCCUUCUCGGUGAUCUUCCCCGACGCUAUGAGCAUGGGACUCUGUAACCGCAGCAACAACAUCACCUUGUCCCUCAACGACAUUGUGGUGAGCAUUUCUGGGCCGAGGUGGGAUCCCAAGGCCGUGGCUGUCUUGGACACUGCUUGGCUCCUCAUUGCCAGCCUGCCAGAUGUGGCCCGGUCUGAGCGGGUCAUCCGCAGUAUGUCCAAGAUCCUAGGCAAGGUGGUGGUGGUCGACGAGCUUUCCCUACGCAAGGAGGAGGAGGUCUGGGUCAAGGUGAAGUGCCUGGACUCCUCCAAGCUCCACGCCACGAUCCGUGUCUUCUUCAACGACGACGGCUAUGACCUCAAGAUCUGCCCUGAGCCUUCGAACCAAGUCGGCCGCCCCCGCUUCUCUGAUGACAGCCACCUGGGGGGUGGCCCAGACGAUGCCGACGACUCCCACCGAAGACGCUCGCGCCACUCCCGCCUCGACGACCCUGGAGAUGACGAGGACGGCUCGGAGCACUCCCGCUCCCCCUCCCGGGAGCCCUCCAACCCACCAGCGAGUCGUGGCGGUUCUGGGGCGAGGCGCACUCGAGUGUCGGCCAUUGACCUCGCGGUGGCCCUCCGCCUGGCCACCCCGCCAGUCAUGCCCUCUCAGUCUCCCUCGGAGUCAGCCAGUGACAUCUCCAGUGUGGGUCUGCUCGUCGCGCCGGCUUCGUCGCCUCGCUCUCCCUACGCUGUCUCCGCCCUUCGCCCCACUCCGUCGGGGCCGGACCCCCCGUCCCCCGCCGGCUCGGCCUCCCCGGCCUCCACGGGUGGCGGCGGGUGUGAGGCUUCCGACGCGCCUGCCCCGACACCCCCACCCGCGGGGACCGCGACCGGUGUCACCCUGGAGCUCGUCGGCCAGCUCCCCUUGCCGGUGACCUCCGGCGUCUGCCUCUCCUCACCUGCCUCCUCGGCCGCUUCGAUGGCAGUGGGCGUCUCCACCCUAGCCUCCGCGCACCCUCCUCCAACGGUGGCAUACGCCAAACGGCCCCGCUCCACCUCGACACCGGUGACAGCCUCCCGCCACAGCGCCCGCCUCGAUGCGACCCAGCCGGCAGGCUCCCCGGCUCCGUCCAUCGCCGAGCGCGAUGAGCUCUGGGCGGCAGCCCGAAACCUCGAGUCAGGUGCGGACCCCGACCUUCCCAGUUCUUCUAGCUGUUCCUUUUCCGCACUUGAGGUCGCUCCGCUUGGCCACCUCGCCAAGGUGGCCACUGACUCGGCCAUAGUCUUCAGGGGGAGGUCGGUCCCCCCUUAG
rnacentral:rRNA from 1 species